rnacentral:lncRNA from 1 species
CCUGCAUGAUGAAGGGAUGAUGGGUGAGCUACCAAGGCUAACAUUUUCCCGAGGACAUUGAGUUAGGGAAGUGGCCUCUCCUUGAGGGAAGGAGCCAGAUGACUUCUCAGAGAACAACAACCAUAUUCAAAAUAUUCUCAAGUUUCUUUUGUUUCUUCUUGUCUGCAUCUGAUAUCCAGGACAUUAUUCCACAGGAAAAGGUUAACAGGAAAUCAAGAUCGGCCCGGGCUAAGAGGAGGAUUGUAAGUGAUUCAGAAGCAAAGCUUAUUGAUCACGAAGCAUGACAGUGGAAGAAUUUCCUGAAAAUGGAAGGAGAAGAUGGUUUCACAGCAAAGCUACUAAUCUGAAACAGUAAAAGCAACAAACAAAUGCCCACUCCCCUUAGCUGACCAGAACACAAUCCUUGUGAAAUAUAAAAACAAUUAGGUACAUGUAACACAGGACACUGUUUUUCAAAUUUAAUGUUAACAGUGGGAUUAUUUGUUUUCCCUGCGACAAAUUUCUUUGUGGGAGUCUGAUAUAUCAAAUAGGAUUGGUAAAGUGAAGCAGGCACGGGCAUCUAGAAUUCUGCUGCUUCGUACUGCCCCUUCCCAGUCCCCAGUGGCCAGGAGAUGCCCCAUCAGAGCUCCAGGGCUCUCAGAUCAUUGUUUGAAAACUACUCAUCAGAAUGUCUCUUUGAAUCAGAGCUUGGAUUUCUGAUGCAUCGGACAUUUAAACUCUCCCCGUUUUGCCACCUCUCUUGCAGUGAGUUAACCUAAAACAUAAAGGGAAAAAGCAACAACAAAAAAGAUCAAAAAAGCCCAAACGAUCAAAAAAGGCACGCUGAAAUCUGUGUCCUCACCUAUUCAGAAAGUCAGGGGAAAAAAAGAUAAAAGAAUAAAUCCUAAGCAAAAGCAACUUUCCAUCGAGAUGACAAGUAAGAUAGCUUCUUCCCUUCUGCAUGUGAAUUGCAAUUCCGAUUUAUGAUCUGUGACAUGAUAAUCAAUCAGUCUUAACUGCAUUUUGCAGAUAGUAGCAGCUGUGGAGAUGGGUGCUGAAGUUGACGUUGCCCAGAGAUGAUGUCAUUUCUGGCAAACUCCCCUCAAAUGUGCUUUGAUCGAUGUGGUUGUUCUUUCCUCUGCUAAGUUGACGUGUACUUAACCUCAGGCAGGAAUCACGGUCAAGUCCGUUUAGGGGUCAGAUCCGAUGCAGCCAUGGAAAGCUAGAGAUUCUCAGUCCUGUCAUCCCUUGAUUUUACUUUUCUAGACACUAAGUAAAAAAAUGAGAGGAGAAGGAAGGGAAGCAAGGGACAGGAGUAGAGACUGCUGGUGUCAAGGACAACAGGGUGGAAGGCCAAAUGGAACAUCACAGUCAUCUUGAGUACCACUGCAUGCAAGAACAGCUACCUGAAAGUCAAUGAUGCAUUUAAGAUUUUUCUUCCUGGCCCAUAAUUCCCGUUUGGUUGAGAGUAUAGCUGCAUUAAGUAUAUGGUAAAUUUGCUGCAGGUGGCCCAGAAAACCUCCCCAGCGCUAACAAUCAAUUACCUCUCAGGACAGAAGCUGCUUCCUGUGCAGGAAAUGCGAGAUCUCUGCUCAGUGACAGAGGCUCAGGAAUUUCAUAGGACCUAUGGAUCUUCCAGUCCAACUGAGUGCAGAAAACUGCCAGGUUUCAUCUUCCUCCUUCUCUGCACCAAAAAACCUGAGACCGGGAUGCCAUGUAGCUGCUUCAGUUGGGAGAUGAUGCCAAGAACCACAAAUGAGGAAAUGAAGGGUCUGGCUCUUAUCACCUCUGAAUAGCAUGCCAUUCUCUUAGCCUCAUCUAAGAAACAGACUGUAGGGGAAGAGAAGAUCUAGAAUGUUGGUCACCAACCAAUGGCAGACAUUAUCAGACAAUUUGUGAGCAAGGAAGUCAGGAACUGUGAGCCACCUGCCAUCUUAAUUUGACAUCUAGUCUCACUACUUUCAAGCACCUCCACUUCAAAAUACUCUUACAAGUGAAUCACCAUUGUUAAAUGGAUCUUUGAAGGAAUUUUGACAACCAGACUGAAAACAAUCUAGACAUCUUAGAUAUUUGUGGCUUCACAGAAAAUAAAAUAAAA